ACGGAGGGUGCAAACGUUGCUCGGAAUCAUUGGGCGUAAAGCGCACGUAGGCGGCGAAGCAAGUUGGGUGUGAAAGCCCUGGGCUCAACCCAGGAAGUGCAUUCAAAACUGCUUCGCUUGAAUCUCGGAGGGGGUCAGAGAAUUCCCGGUGUAGAGGUGAAAUUCGUAGAUAUCGGGAGGAAUACCAGUGGCGAAGGCGCUGACCUGGACGAAGAUUGACGCUGAGGUGCGAAAGCGCGGGGAGCAAACAGGA
rnacentral:rRNA from 1 species